GACGAACGCUGGCGGCGUGCCUAAUACAUGCAAGUAGAACGCUGAAGGAGGAGCUUGCUUCUCUGGAUGAGUUGCGAACGGGUGAGUAACGCGUAGGUAACCUGCCUGGUAGCGGGGGAUAACUAUUGGAAACGAUAGCUAAUACCGCAUAAUAGCAGUUGUUGCAUGACAACUGUUUGAAAGGUGCAAUUGCACCACUACCAGAUGGACCUGCGUUGUAUUAGCUAGUUGGUGGGGUAACGGCUCACCAAGGCGACGAUACAUAGCCGACCUGAGAGGGUGAUCGGCCACACUGGGACUGAGACACGGCCCAGGCUCCUACGGGAGGCAGCAGUAGGGAAUCUUCGGCAAUGGACGGAAGUCUGACCGAGCAACGCCGCGUGAGUGAAGAAGGGUUUCGGAUCGUAAAGCUCUGUUGUAAGAGAAGAACGAGUGUGAGAGUGGAAAGUUCACACUGUGACGGUAUCUUACCAGAAAGGGACGGCUAACUACGUG
rnacentral:rRNA from 1 species